UGCGCCCCUGAGUCCUCCCGUACAUGGACUCAUGAAAAGCGUCUUGCUGUUGGGAAGUCUUCCUCCCCCCUAUGAAGAAGGCCGGGCUCGCUUGCUGAAGAGAUGGGGAUCCACCUAGAGCCAGCGCCAAGCAACAGACACCAACUCCCAUGCCCCCGGAGGCCCAGGCACGAAGCACACGUCUCAGGGGACCACUCCCACGUCCUGGGACUCCUGAUGAAGACGCCGCGGCCUCUCCUGCAGGCCUGGAGCGCCAGCUCUCCCCGCCCAGGCAUCAGUCCCAGAGAGGCCUGCAGCUUUGCCUUUGCCCCUGCCGAAACCGUGGCUGCACAAGCCCUUCGCACUCAGCAUCGCAUGCCGUGAAGUUCCUAAUUGUGUGUGACUUAGUUUAUAUUCCAAGACACGCAGCAUGCACAAAGGGACAGGCCCCGGCCACCACGGGUCAUCUGCCUGCUGGCCGCAGAGCGUCCCUCCCCGGCGGGUCCUGGCCCCCACGCCUGAGUGGCUCCCGCACCCCUCCUGCAGCGCCCCCACUAGGCCCCGGCACCCUCCCCGUCUCUCCUGCACACUGAUUGCACACCACCCUGCACACGCGGAGAUGAUGUAAGGUGAUCAUGACUACCUGUUAGUGGCAGAUUCCACUCUCAUUUAAGGUAAACCCAAAGCCCACUCUUGGGUUCUCUUUACUCACUGAGAAGGGUUGUGGGAACCCUUGAGCCCUUCUGUGUCCCUUCCUGGGCACAGAGUGGCCCGGGUGACAUAUCCUCCCACCAGUAGAGCUCACUGAGAACGCUUCUCUAGACGUGGAAACAAGAUGUCUGUGUCAGAAGGACAACAACUCAGUAUCACUGGGUAACUUCUCAUGAUAGAUUUGUAUAAUCAAUACGGGUCUAUUUUUACGUCAACUGGACACUGUAGAGCACCUUCCAGUCUUUUCCAAGAUUGUUAAAUUGAGACAAGUCAUUGAAUAAUUUGUCCUAUUUUUAUUUAAAAACAAAGUGAAUGGGCUGAAAUGUUAAAUGUGAAUGUACAUUUCUUAAUUGCAACUUUUCUACUGAGUGUUUGCACUGUACUUUCCGGAAUCUUAUUUAACAAAAAUAAAGGAAAAAAAUUGCUUGACUAUAAACUCCGUGGCCAAUUUAAUUGAAAAACAAGACGACUGUGUGGAUGUUUUAAAGACACUCCUCUGCAUUUCACGUACGCUGUCAUUUUCUACAAUGCAGUCACCCUGUCCUCCUCUGGGGCCCUGGCGUGGGGUCUGCUCCCCUUCUGAUGAGCAGCCCCAUCUCGUGACAGGUGGCAGCAGUGGAUGGGGAUUCUUCGGUGCUCAAUUUUUGCACCUAAAUGUGAGAUUCCAGGGAAGAAGAUUUGAGUUAUUUGUAAUUCCUCAUGACUAGUCUCUCUAACCAGUGUCUUCUUGCUAUUUUAAUCUUUUAUAAAACAAUAGGAAAAAAUCUUGCCUGACUGAAAUGAAAUAUGGAAGUUAGGGUCCAGCCUCACUGUUGGUCUGUGCCCCAUGCAGACCUAGUGAGUCCUGGGCCCUUUGGGCGGGUGGGGACGGCCACCUCCAGGCAGAGGCCUCGGUGAACCAGCACAAUCCAGGGCUGCUGGGAACAGCAUUUAGUGGAGUAAGUGAUGGCUGUCAUUGUGAUUUAGGGGAAAAAAUCCAUCCCAGCCCAGAGUGGAGUGUGGGCCCUGAUUGUGGCAGAUGCUAAAUCUCCUGCAUCCUCAGAGAAUGUCAUCGGGUGCCUCUGUCCCCCUUAAGAGCAGGUUAAGUUGUAUCCCUGCCCUGGACCUUCCAAAGCUUCCUGCCCAAUGAGCCUGUGGGGUGGUGCGAAGCAUGGCCAGGAGAGGAGCGCGGUCACCAUGGAGACCUGAGAACUGCCAGUGGGGAGCCUAGACCACUGGGAAGCCGUGGGCAGAGGGAGGCGCAGGAGGAGACCCCAAGAGAGCGUGCUGGAGGAGAGGCGGGGUGCGCGGGUUCCAGGCUCUGGAAGCGCUCAGACUUGUCUCAGGUUCUGUGUCGUGCGGGUGUGUGGGGGGAACCUAGUAACUGAGGGUGUAAGCCUGGGUGUGGUUGAGCUGUGACCGCCAUGCGGCAGGCUUCGUGGUGGUGCUGCUGGUGAGGAGAAAGUAUUCACUGGACACUUGUUAAAAAUGGCAGG